AGUGGAUGGGGAGCAACCUAGUUGUGCGUGUGUAAAGGUAGUGCCAAGAAAAGCGAUGAUCAUGUUGAAAAUCAAUUCCCGGUACCCGAAACCGACACAGGUGGGCAAGUAGAGAAUACUAAGGGGCGCGAGGUAACUCUCUCCAAGGAACUCGGCAAAAUGACCCCGUAACUUAGGGAGAAGGGGUGCCACCGAGAGGUGGUCGCAGUGAAGAGGCCCAGGCGACUGUUUAGCAAAAACAUAGGUCUCUGCAAACUCGAAAGAGGAGGUAUAGGGGCUGACGCCUGCCCAGUGCCGGAAGGUUAAAGAAGUUGGUCAGUUUUAGGAUGAAGCUAGCGACUGAAGCCCCGGUGAACGGCGGCCGUAACUAUAACGGUCCUAAGGUAGCGAAAUUCCUUGUCGGGUAAGUUCCGACCCGCACGAAAGGCGUAGCGAUCUGGGCGCUGUCUCGGAGAGAGGCUCGGCGAAAUAGGAUUGUCUGUGAAGAUACGGACUACCUGCAUUUGGACAGAAAGACCCUAUGAAGCUUUACUAUAGCUUGGAAUUGUGUUCGGGCUUCCUGUGCGCAGGAUAGGUGGGAGGCGUAGAAGGUAUUCUUGUGGGGAUACUGGAGCCAACGGUGAGAUACCACUCUCAGGAGGCUAGAAUUCUAACUUAAUUAAGGACAGUUUCAGGUGGGUAGUUUGACUGGGGCGGUCGCCUCCAAAAAGGUAACGGAGGCGUACAAAGGUUCCCUCAGACUGGUUGGAAAUCAGUCGAAGAGUGCAAAGGCAGAAGGGAGCUUGACUGCGAGAAGUACAGUUCGAGCAGGGUGGAAACACGGUCUUAGUGAUCCGACGGUGCUGUGUGGAAGGGCCGUCGCUCAACGGAUAAAAGUUACUCUAGGAUAACAGGCUGAUCUCCCCCAAGAGUUCACAUCGACGGGGAGGUUUGGCACCUCGAUGUCGGCUCAUCGCAACCUGGGGCGGAAGUACGUCCCAAGGGUUGGGCUGUUCGCCCAUUAAAGCGGUACGUGAGCUGGGUUCAGAACGUCGUGAGACAGUUCGGUCCAUAUCCGAUGUAGGCGUGAGAAUAUUGAGAGGAGCCUUCCUUAGUACGAGAGGACCGGGAAGGACGCACCGCUGGUGUACCUGUUAUGAUGCCAAUUGUAAACGCAGGGUAGCCAAGUGCGGAGAGGAUAACCGCUGAAAGCAUCUAAGUGGGAAGCCCACCUCAAGAUGAGUAUUCUGGUGUAAGGUCACGGGAAGACGACCCGUAAAUAGGCACGAGGUGGAAGUGCAGAGAUGUAUGAAGCCGAAGUGUACUAAUAGACCGUCGGCUUGACCA
rnacentral:rRNA from 1 species